AAGAAAUUGUAAAAGAAUAGCAAACCAAAUUACAGUGGAAAGAAGCAAGAAGGUGUACCUGGAAAAAUGAACCAAAGAACGAACCCUAGGCACCAAGAAGCAAGAACAGAGAAGAAGCUUUAUGCGUAAGAGAAGAAGCAUCCAGAGAGAAUAAGAAAAAGGAGUAUUAUUGGAAUGUAAAAAUUUGAUAAUCUGAGAUGAAAGAAAUACAAUAAAAAGGGGAAAAAGAG
rnacentral:lncRNA from 1 species